AUAUUUUGCACAAAAACGGGGAGCCGUCUUCCAUCACCGAAUGGACCACACUUGUCAUACCUAUGCAGUAUUGGGAGUUUGCCCUUUUGUUGUUCUGUCUGUCUCUAUGGUCCAGAAUCAAUAGGCUAACAGAAAAAAAAAGCUAUGACCACUUUUAUUUACAAACAGC